GAUGAACGCUGGCGGCGUGCUUAACACAUGCAAGUCGAACGGUGAAGGCGGAGCUUGCUCUGCUGGAUCAGUGGCGAACGGGUGAGUAACACGUGAGCAAUCUGCCCCUGACUCUGGGAUAAGCGCUGGAAACGGCGUCUAAUACUGGAUACGAGCUGCGAAGGCAUCUUCAGCAGCUGGAAAGAAUUUCGGUCAGGGAUGAGCUCGCGGCCUAUCAGCUUGUUGGUGAGGUAAUGGCUCACCAAGGCGUCGACGGGUAGCCGGCCUGAGAGGGUGACCGGCCACACUGGGACUGAGAAACGGCCCAGACUCCUACGGGAGGCAGCAGUGGGGAAUAUUGCACAAUGGGCGAAAGCCUGAUGCAGCAACGCCGCGUGAGGGACGACGGCCCUCGGGUUGUAAACCUCUUUUAGCAGGGAAGAAGCGAAAGUGACGGUACCUGCAGAAAAAGCGCCGGCUAACUACGUG
rnacentral:rRNA from 1 species